rnacentral:rRNA from 1 species
UACGAAGGGGGCUAGCGUUGUUCGGAAUCACUGGGCGUAAAGCGCACGUAGGCGGAUCUUUAAGUCAGGGGUGAAAUCCCGGGGCUCAACCUCGGAACUGCCUUUGAUACUGGGGAUCUCGAGUCCGGGAGAGGUGAGUGGAAUUGCGAGUGUAGAGGUGAAAUUCGUAGAUAUUCGGAAGAACACCAGUGGCGAAGGCGACUUACUGGACACAUAUUGACGCUGAGGUGCGAAAGCGUGGGGAGCAAACAGG